CACAUUAGGACAAUUUGGGGAUAAUGGUAAUAAGUCAAGGGCAAGGCUAUGGUUGACCUUGUUGGAUACAAAAUUCUUAUGACUAAAUUGAAAUGUGGAAAUAUUGGAAAUUUAUUAAGGGUAAAAAUUGAAAUUUCUCAUGUGGAAAUACCAUAAAAGAUUAAGGACAAAAUUGGAAUUACUCAUGUGGAAAUACCAUAAAAGGUUAGGGGUAAAAUUGGAAUUUCACAUGUGGAAAUACCAUAAAAGGUUAGGGAUAAAAUUGGAAUUUCACACGUGGAAAUACUAUAAAAGGUUAGGGGUAUACUUGGAAUUUUACAUAUGGAAAUACUAUAAAAGGUUAAGGGCAAAGGUGGAAUUUCAACUUGGAAAUAUUAGGAAAGGUGAGGGGCAAAAUGGAAAUUUCACAUGGGAGCCUUAGUCAUAAAAUCCUAGAAUUCUCUACACAAUUUGAGAAAGAAGAAGAGCAAAGGAAAGAAGAGAAAUCAAGAGAGAAAAUCGGACAAGAAGACCAAAAAAUUACCCCUUCAAAUUUCAUCCCAAAAAUUAUAAUUUUCUAGUAUUCCUACUAAGUCAAGGGUGCUCUACAACAUGGUGUAGUUUUUUUGGAAGAUAGGAGGCUUGUUUGGUUGAUUUGAAGCUUUGGUAAAGUGAAGAAGUUGGAAGGAAAAGAUUUUGGAGAAAACGGAAAUUGAACUUGGACAACCGUAAAAGGCCAAAAAGGUACCGAAGUUCGAUUUGCUGAUCCACCUGUUUAGGAUAUUUGCUGCGUCGUUGACAGUGCUCCCUUGUUCGGAGCUUGUAUUUUGGUACUGACUUUAUCUCUGUAUAUUUGGAUAUGUUGGUCAGGGGUACGACGGGGCCUUGUCUCGUCAUAUGACUAUGCUAUCAUCUGUAGAGGUCUGUAGACAGAGUUAUAUCGUGGGUUUUGUAUAUAUGGUUUGGAUUUU